rnacentral:rRNA from 1 species
CACGUAGGGCGCAAGCGUUGUCCGGAAUUAUUGGGCGUAAAGAGCUCGUAGGCGGUCUGUUACGUCUGCUGUGAAAACCCGGGGCUUAACCCUGGGCUUGCAGUGGAUACGGGCAGACUAGAGGCAGGUAGGGGAGAAUGGAAUUCCCGGUGUAGCGGUGAAAUGCGCAGAUAUCAGGAGGAACACCUAUAGCGAAGGCAGCUCGCUGGGACGUUACUGACGCUGAGGCGCGAAAGCGUGGGGAGCGAACAGG